GUGGAGCUACCUUGCGUGCUGCCAGUUCCACCUGGGCCUGUACCGCGAGGCCGAAGCGUCGGUGCUGAAGGACCCCAAGAACCAGCUGCAGAGCCGGCUGCUCUUCCACCUGGCCCACAAGGCGGGAGACGAGAAGAGGCUCAUGGCGCUGCACCAGAGCCUGCAGGACAUACUCGAGGACCAGCUGUCGCUCGCAUCCAUUCACUACCUCAGAGCGCACUACCAGGAGGCCAUAGACAUCUACAAGCGCAUUCUCCUCGAAAACAGGGACUUCCUGGCGUUGAACGUGUACGUGGCCCUGUGCUACUACAAGCUCGACUACUACGAUGUAUCGCAGGUGG
rnacentral:lncRNA from 1 species